rnacentral:rRNA from 1 species
CGCCUCUUGACCAAACAUAAGAGGUCCAGCCUGCCCAGUGACAAUAUUUAACGGCCGCGGUACCCUAACCGUGCAAAGGUAGCACAAUCACUUGUUCCAUAAAUAGGGACUAGUAUGAACGGCACCACGAAGACUAUACUGUCUCCCCCACCCAAUCAGUGAAACUGAUCCCCCCGUGAAGAAGCGGGGAUCAAAAUAUAAGACGAGAAGACCCCAUGGAGCUUCAAACUAAGCGCCACCUGCUAUACACAUACCAUAAAAAUCUACCAGCUUUGGCUGCCCGUUUUUGGUUGGGGUGACCACGGAGCAAAACAUAACCUCCAUAAUGAACAAACCUAAACUUCUAAUUUAAGACCUACAGCUCAACAAAUCAAUAUAUUGACAUAAUUGACCCAAACUUAUUGAUCAAUGAACCUAGUUACCCUGGGGAUAACAGCGCAAUCCAUUUAAAGAGCCCCUAUCGACAAAUGGGUUUACGACCUCGAUGUUGGAUCAGGGUAUCCUAGUGGUGCAACCGCUACU